UUUUCAGAAAAAAGACCUAUCUAGCCAAUAAAACAAUUCCUUAUUGCUAACUUUCAGUUGUACGUGUUUCUAUUUAUAUGUUAGCUUUUAUUUAAAACAAUAAAAUAAUUAAUAAGUUUUGAAAAAGCUGACCGCUCUGUGACACAAGGAUGUCUGUGACCGCGUGCGAAAACGUUCUCUAUCAGUGUAGAAGUGAGUGUGGAAGAGAGAGGAGUACCACCCUGUCAAACCUGUGGCGAUAAGAUGGAGUUUGUUCCAGGUAAGAAUAUAAUAAUUUGGCAUCACAGCAAAAAGAUUCAAAGGGAACAGUCUGACUUCGAGGAUCAUAACGACGAUAUUAUUUUCAAACCGCCCUCUACCUGGGUCUUGAAGUUCAAGUUAGGUCGGCCUGCGAUCAGCGCUUUCAAUCCGGAUGAAAAAGGAACUUAUUUUCCUCUCGACUUGGGUUUGGCGUGUUUCAGUGCGACAGGGAAACAAUUUAUUAUUUAUUUGUUCUUGAUUAUCAAUCAUCAUACAUACAGGCACAAAAUGAUGUAUAAUUUUCUACAAGUACUCACCGAGAUAUAAGUGGCUCCUCAGACCAGAUGUUUAGAUUGAGGAGCCACCUUUACAGUAACAUUCAUUUUAUUUCGACAGUAACUUCGGAUGUGAUGAUGUACAAAUUUCAAGAUAAGUGGUACAAAAUUUAUUUCGUCAUAGGCUAAUGACAUUUGUAUAUUUCCUUUUAAAAUCUGAAGUGGCUCUUCAAUUCAUGCGAAAAUAUUUUCAUUAUUAUUAUUAGAAUGAAAGUGUAGACAAGAGUAUACAUAUAAAUGUAAGAGCUGAUUUAAUUCAAUUUUAGUGAGUAGGUAUCUUAAAAUAAAAUGCGCAAUAAACAUUUUAGUUGAAAAUAAGUUACAAUUUUAACUUAUUUACGUCUUAUAAGCCAUAACGAAUCACACUUUAACUUACACCAGGAAUCACAUAAUCCAUUGGUGAAAACCGUACAAAAACAAUCAGUCCGGUAGUUUUUGAGUCCAUACAGACGAACA